rnacentral:rRNA from 1 species
UACGUAGGGGGCGAGCGUUGUCCGGAUUUAUUGGGCGUAAAGAGCGUGUAGGCGGCCAGGUAGGUCUGCUGUGAAAACUCGAGGCUCAACCUCGAGACGUCGGCGGAAACCAUCUGGCUAGAGUCCGGAAGAGGAGAGUGGAAUUCCUGGUGUAGCGGUGAAAUGCGUAGAUAUCUGGAGGAACACCGGUGGCGAAGGCGGCAUCCUGGACCGACACUGACACUGAGGAGCGAAAGCCAGGGGAGCAAACGGG